GGGAGGGGUAAGGGAGUAGGGAGGGGUUAGGGAGAGGUUAGGGAGUAGGGAGUAGGGAGGGGUUAGGGAGAAGGGAGGGGUUAGGGAGUAGGGAGAGGUUUGGGAGUAGGGAGGGGUUAGGGAGUAGGGAGGGGUUAGGGAGUAGGGAGAGGUUAGGGAGUAGGGAGGGGUAAGGGAGUAGGGAGGGGUUAGGGAUUAGGGAGAGGUUAGGGAUUAGGGAGGGGUUAGGGAGUAGGCAGGGGUUAAGGAGUAGGGAGGGGUUAGGCAGUAGGCAGGGGUUAGGGUGUAAGGAGAGGUUAGGGAUUAGGGAGGGGUUAGGGAGUAGGCAGGGGUUAGGGAGUAGGGAGGGGUUAAGGAGUAGGGAGGGGUAAGGGAGAAGGGAUGGGUUAGGGAGUAUGGAGGGGUUAGGGAGUAGGGAGGGGUUAGGGAGUAGGGAGGGGUUAGGGAGUAGGGAGAGGUUAGGGAGUAGGGAGGGGUUAGGGAGUGGUUAGGGAGUAGGGAGAGGUUAGGGUGUAGGGAGGGG
ensembl:lncRNA